GAUGAAGAACGUAGCGAAAUGCGAUACUUGGUGUGAAUUGCAGAAACCCGUGAACCAUCGAGUCUUUGAACGCAAGUUGCGCCCGAAGCCAUUAGGCCGAGGGCACGCCUGCCUGGGCGUCACACGUCGUUGCCCCCCCCAUCUACUCCUUCGGGAUUGCGGGGGGCGGAUGAUGGCCUCCCGUGCGCCUCGCCGCGCGGUUGGCAUAAAUGCCAAGUCCUCGGCGACGCACGCCACGACAAUCGGUGGUUGCGAAACCUCGGUUGCCCGUCGUGUGCGGUCGUCGCGCAUCGAGGGCUCGAAAAAAUUGCCGAGUUCCGGCUCGGCUUUCAACGCGACCCCAGGUCAGGCGGGGUUACCCGCUGAAUUUAAGCAUAUCAAUAAGCGGAGGA
rnacentral:misc_RNA from 1 species